GAUGAAGAACGCAGCGAAAUGCGAUAAGUAGUGUGAAUUGCAGAAUUCAGUGAAUCAUCGAAUCUUUGAACGCACAUUGCGCCCUUUGGUAUUCCUUAGGGCAUGCCUGUUCGAGCGUCAUUUAAACCUUCAAGCUAAGCUUGGUGUUGGGUGACUGUCCGCUUCACGGCGGACUCGCCUCAAAAUUAUUGGCGGCCGGUACAUUGGCUUCGAGAGCAGCAGAAACGCGAACUCGGGCCCGUCGUAUUGGCUCCCAGAAGCUAUCUUCACAAUUUUGACCUCGGAUCAGGUAGGGAUACCCGCUGAACUUAAGCAUAUCAAUAAGCGGAGGA
rnacentral:misc_RNA from 1 species